GAUGAACGCUGGCAGCGUGCCUAAUACAUGCAAGUAGAACGCUGAAGGAGGAGCUUGCUCUUCUGGAUGAGUUGCGAACGGGUGAGUAGCGCGUAGGUAACCUGCCUGGUAGCGGGGGAUAACUAUUGGAAACGAUAGCUAAUACCGCAUGACAACAGUUAUUGCAUGAUAACUGUUUAAAAGGGGCAACUGCUCCACUACCAGAUGGACCUGCGUUGUAUUAGCUAGUUGGUGAGGUAACGGCUCACCAAGGCGACGAUACAUAGCCGACCUGAGAGGGUGAUCGGCCACACUGGGACUGAGACACGGCCCAGACUCCUACGGGAGGCAGCAGUAGGGAAUCUUCGGCAAUGGACGGAAGUCUGACCGAGCAACGCCGCGUGAGUGAAGAAGGUUUUCGGAUCGUAAAGCUCUGUUGUAAGAGAAGAACGAGUGUGAGAGUGGAAAGUUCACACUGUGACGGUAUCUUAACAGAAAGGGACGGCUAACUACGUG
rnacentral:rRNA from 1 species